AGCGAGGCAUAGAGGAGUGAAGCCGAGUCCUUCGAAACCGGACCCCCUCCAACUGGCUUCCCUCCUUUUAAAAUCCUUUCUCCUUGUGACUCCUCCCCUUCCUCGUCUCUUAUUUUCGAUUUCUCAUCUGCAUUGGCAUUCAUCUCCUCUCUCUUUGGUCGAGUUUCCACUGCGUGAAGAUGGACUUUGAUUGAGGCUACUUGAAGAAGGUCUUGUCCAUUCUAAGAUACGUGUUUGAAUGACAUGGGUUUCAGUUAUGUGGUUAACUGUCGAUGCUAUUGUUUAUGACUCUCAGUAUAACCUUAAAUAUGCAGUCUCUACAAAAUCUCAAGUUCAUGACUAACAAUGCUGACAUGUUAAGAUGCCCAUCUAUGGAGUAAAUUCAUCAUGCAAAUGCCUAUCCAUUGAUCGUCCUCAGAAAAAUCAUGUGCACUCUAAGGUAGUUGAUUCAAAACUAUUUUUUCUCUCUCCUCCCAGCAAAUCUGCAAAUGUCUUACUGCUUCUGGACAAAGUGGCUGCAUGUGCAUUGACAUUAGCGGUUUUACUCUAUUGCCAAGUGACACCAACCCUGAGACCUGAGGAAUCUUUAACAUGCCUAUCCAUGGAGUAAGUUCAUCAUGUUAUUGCAAUGAUUUUUUUCAACCAUUUCUAAGAUUUGCUUCAUUUAGACUUGAAGUUGUAAAAUAGCUUCAGAAAGAGAUAAGAACGCAUAAUGAUAUGAAUUUUUUUCAUUGAACUUGAGCAAUGUUAAUAACAAGUUAUGUUUGAUGGAUUAAAAACAGUUCAUUAGCGUGAUGCACCAAUUUCAUGGGUGUAAGAGAUUGAGCUGUGGUUUGGCUAACUUGCUGCUUAAAAGGUGGGGAUAUUUGGGGAUUUUGGGAUUGGUUUCUUUAUUGCCAUUUGUUUGUAAUGACUCAGCUUCUGGAAGCAAGGAAAAUUGGCAUUUUCUUAUCUCAUAUAAAAUCUGUUGGAAUAAUCGGAAUUAAUUAUUCUCAUUAAUUAGCUUUGGCUGGAAUAUUUGGAGUCGAACUAUUUUGUUCUUUAGUUAUUUAAUGCCAAGAAGUCUUCAUUAGCUUGUAUGUGUUGAAUGUGUUGGUUACUUCUUUCACCUUGAUAAAUAUAAUUAAUUACUUGUAAGGAUUGUCAGAAGGAGAAGAACAUUAUCUACACCAGAGUCAUUUACUGAUGAGCAAUUCAAUAACCUUAAUUUCUGAUCACCUUAGCUACACCAGAGUCAUUUACUGCUCCUGAAAUUAAUAGCAAGAAAAGGAAUUCUAUGAUUGUCAAUGACUAUUCCAGAUUCGACGGGUAUAGGUGAAAUGUGUACACAUAUCUUUGAGCUCAACCAAGAAUCCAAGAGUUAUCAAGGAGGAGAAUUGGAGAAGAAGGGAAUUAUUACUGUAUAAGUUUAUUGUCUUAGUUGUUAAUUCUAAGCAUUUUUUUUGCUUUAUAUUUUGAAUGAGUAUUAGACGACAUCAAAUUUUGUAUUCAGCAUUUUGAGUCUGUUUUUUCUCAGAGUCUUCGUUCAGGAAUUCCUUCAAAUAUGCAAUAUGAUUAUGCAUUAUUUUUUGUGUUCUUAAUGUUGAGUAUUUUUGGGGAAAGUCAAACCCCAAAAACUCCUUCAAUUUUGCAGUCAAAUUCUUGCCAGCACUUUUGUAGUAGAGUUAAUUAGUUUAAUUUUACCUUUAUCUAA